rnacentral:rRNA from 1 species
GGGCCCGCACAAGCGGUGGAGUAUGUGGUUUAAUUCGAUGCAACGCGAAGAACCUUACCAGGGUUUGACAUCCUGCGAAUCUCUUGGAAACAGGAGAGUGCCUUCGGGAACGCAGUGACAGGUGGUGCAUGGCUGUCGUCAGCUCGUGUCGUGAGAUGUUGGGUUAAGUCCCGCAACGAGCGCAACCCACGUCUUUAGUUGCCAUCAUUUAGUUGGGCACUCUAAAGAGACUGCCGGUGAUAAGCCGGAGGAAGGUGGGGACGACGUCAAGUCCUCAUGGCCCUUACGGGAUGGGCUACACACGUGCUACAAUGGCAGUGACAAUGGGUUAAUCCCCAAAAGCUGUCUCAGUUCGGAUUGAGGUCUGAAACUCGACCUCAUGAAGUCGGAAUCGCUAGUAAUCG